CCUACGGGCGGCUGCAGUGGGGAAUAUUGGACAAUGGGCGAAAGCCUGAUCCAGCCAUGCCGCGUGUGUGAAGAAGGCCUUCGGGUUGUAAAGCACUUUCAGUGGGGAAGAAAGCCUUGGGGCUAAUACCCUCGAGGAAGGACAUCACCCACAGAAGAAGCACCGGCUAACUCCGUGCCAGCAGCCGCGGUAAUACGGAGGGUGCGAGCGUUAAUCGGAAUUACUGGGCGUAAAGCGCGCGUAGGCGGUCUGAUAAGCCGGUUGUGAAAGCCCCGGGCUCAACCUGGGAACGGCAUCCGGAACUGUCAGGCUAGAGUGCAGGAGAGGAAGGUAGAAUUCCCGGUGUAGCGGUGAAAUGCGUAGAGAUCGGGAGGAAUACCAGUGGCGAAGGCGGCCUUCUGGACUGACACUGACGCUGAGGUGCGAAAGCGUGGGUAGCAAACAGGAUUAGAUACCCCGGUGUC
rnacentral:rRNA from 1 species